rnacentral:rRNA from 1 species
UACGUAGGGUGCUAGCGUUGUCCGGAUUUAUUGGGCGUAAAGAGCUCGUAGGCGGUCUGUCGCGUCGGCUGUGAAAACCCGGGGCUCAACCCCGGGCCUGCAGUCGAUACGGGCAGACUAGAGUGCGGUAGGGGAGACUGGAAUUCCUGGUGUAGCGGUGAAAUGCGCAGAUAUCAGGAGGAACACCGGUGGCGAAGGCGGGUCUCUGGGCCGUAACUGACGCUGAGGAGCGAAAGCGUGGGGAGCGAACAGG